rnacentral:rRNA from 1 species
CCUACGGGAGGCAGCAGUGGGGAAUUUUGGACAAUGGGCGAAAGCCUGAUCCAGCAAUGCCGCGUGUGGGAAGAAGGCCUUCGGGUUGUAAACCACUUUUGUACGGAACGAAACGGCUCGCUUUAAUACAGUGGGCUAAUGACGGUACCGUAAGAAUAAGCACCGGCUAACUACGUGCCAGCAGCCGCGGUAAUACGUAGGGUGCGAGCGUUAAUCGGAAUUACUGGGCGUAAAGCGUGCGCAGGCGGUUAUAUAAGACAGUUGUGAAAUCCCCGGGCUCAACCUGGGAAUUGCAUCUGUGACUGUAUAGCUAGAGUACGGUAGAGGGGGAUGGAAUUCCGCGUGUAGCAGUGAAAUGCGUAGAUAUGCGGAGGAACACCGAUGGCGAAGGCAAUCCCCUGGACCUGUACUGACGCUCAUGCACGAAAGCGUGGGGAGCAAACAGGAUUAGAUACCCUGGUAGUCCACGCCCUAAACGAUGUCAACUGGUUGUUGGGUGCAUUAGUACUCAGUAACGAAGCUAACGCGUGAAGUUGACCGCCUGGGGAGUACGGCCGCAAGGUUGAAACUCAAAGAGUAGUAGCGNGNGAGAGCGACGACGACGACGACGGAGGAGGAGG